GACGAAGGGGCUAGCGUUGUUCGGAAUUACUGGGCGUAAAGCGCGUGUAGGCGGUUGCCCAAGUCGGGUGUGAAAGCCUUGAGCUCAACUCAAGAAAUGCACUCGGUACUGGGUGACUAGAGGACCGGAGAGGAUAGUGGAAUUCCCAGUGUAGUGGUGAAAUACGUAGAGAUUGGGAAGAACACCAGUGGCGAAGGCGGCUAUCUGGACGGUUUCUGACGCUAAGACGCGAAAGCGUGGGGAGCAAACAGG
rnacentral:rRNA from 1 species